rnacentral:rRNA from 1 species
ACACUCCUACGGGAGGCAGCAGUGGGGAAUUUUGGACAAUGGGCGAAAGCCUGAUCCAGCAAUGCCGCGUGAGUGAAGAAGGCCUUCGGGUUGUAAAGCUCUUUUGUCAGGGAAGAAACGGUGAGAGCUAAUAUCUUUUGCUAAUGACGGUACCUGAAGAAUAAGCACCGGCUAACUACGUGCCAGCAGCCGCGGUAAUACGUAGGGUGCAAGCGUUAAUCGGAAUUACUGGGCGUAAAGCGUGCGCAGGCGGUUUUGUAAGUCUGAUGUGAAAUCCCCGGGCUCAACCUGGGAAUUGCAUUGGAGACUGCAAGGCUAGAAUCUGGCAGAGGGGGGUAGAAUUCCACGGGUAGCAGUGAAAUGCGUAGAUAUGUGGAGGAACACCGAUGGCGAAGGCAGCCCCCUGGGUCAAGAUUGACGCUCAUGCACGAAAGCGUGGGGAGCAAACAGGAUUAGAAACCCUGUAGUCC